rnacentral:rRNA from 1 species
AACGAACGCUGGCGGCGUGCUUAAGACAUGCAAGUCGUGCGGGAGAGGGGCUUCGGCUCCAAUCCAGCGGCGCACGGGUGAGUAACACGUGGGUAAUCUACCUCCAGGUCUGGGAUAACCUCGGGAAACUGGGGCUAAUACCGGAUAAGACCACGAGGUCUUCGGACUUCGCGGGAAAAGAUGGCCUCUGCUUGCAAGCUAUCUCCAGGAGAUGAGCCCGCGGCCCAUUAGCUAGUUGGCGGGGUAACGGCCCACCAAGGCGACGAUGGGUAGCUGGUCUGAGAGGACGACCAGCCACACUGGAACUGAGACACGGUCCAGACUCCUACGGGAGGCUG